AUCAGCCACUGUCAGCACCCAAAAUGGACAGAUGUUCAAAUUGUUCAGGAUCUGGAAAGGUUUGAAAUCAAUUUUAAUUAUUUUUGUUGCCUAUAUCAAGUUUGGAAAUUAUGUAAUAUAGAGGAAUUGCAAUAUCUGUUCCCACCUGCUACUUUUCUGCACAUAUUUUAUCAGGUGGGAUGAACAUAUACAUGUGUGUGCGCACCCGUGCGAGGAAAGUAUAAAGAACACAUGGUAACAUGCUUAGGAAAAAGAACAGAAGCAAGAUUUGAUUGGCUAGCAUCAAUGUCUUCUCUCUCUAUGGGGAUUUGGAUUUAGGUCUUGUUUUGAGCCUUAAUGCACUCUAUUUGUUCGAAUUAAAAAAAAAAAAAAAGUAAAGUACUGAUAUAUUGCCAAAAG
rnacentral:misc_RNA from 1 species